rnacentral:rRNA from 1 species
GACAGAGGGUGCAAACGUUGCUCGGAAUUACUGGGCGUAAAGCGCGUGUAGGCGGACCUGCAAGUCGGACGUGAAAGCCCUGGGCUCAACCCAGGAACUGCAUCCGAAACUGCGGGCCUGGAGUGGUGGAGAGGGAAGCAGAAUUCCUGGUGUAGAGGUGAAAUUCGUAGAUAUCAGGAGGAACACCUGUGGCGAAAGCGGCUCACUGGACCAUAACUGACGCUGAUGCACGAAAGCUAGGGGAGCAAACAGG